GCCGAAAGUCCAAGGGUUCCUGCUUAAAGCUAAUCUGAGCAGGGUAAGCCGACCCCUAAGGCGAGGCCGAAAGGCGUAGUCGAUGGGAACCAGGUUAAUAUUCCUGGGCCAGGAAGUAGUGACGGAUCGUGAAGGUUGUUCACCCUUAUCGGAUUGGGUGGGCCGCUAAUCGGUUCCUGGAAAUAGCUCUUCCGUAAGAUCGUACCCUAAACCGACACAGGUGGACUGGUAGAGAAUACCAAGGCGCUUGAGAGAACGAUGUUGAAGGAACUCGGCAAAAU
rnacentral:rRNA from 1 species